rnacentral:rRNA from 1 species
CUGUAAACGAUGUGUGUUAGAUGUUGGGUAACUUAGUUACUCAGUGUCGCAGUUAACGCGUUAAGCACACCGCCUGGGGAGUAUGGCCGCAAGGUUGAAACUCAAAGGAAUGACGGGGGCCCGCACAAGCGGUGGAGCAUGUGGUUUAAUUCGAAGCUACGCGAAGAACCUUACCAGGUCUUGACAUCUUGCGCUAACCUAAGAGAUUAGGCGUUCCCUUCGGGGACGCAAUGACAGGUGGUGCAUGGUCGUCGUCAGCUCGUGUCGUGAGAUGUUGGGUUAAGUCCCGCAACGAGCGCAACCCUUGUUACUAGUUGCCAGCAUUCAGUUGGGCACUCUAGUGAGACUGCCGGUGACAAACCGGAGGAAGGUGGGGACGACGUCAGAUCAUCAUGCCCCUUAUGACCUGGGCUACACACGUGCUACAAUGGCCGGUACAACGAGCAGCUAACCCGCGAGGUCAAGCUAAUCUCUUAAAGCCGUUCUCAGUUCGGAUUGUAGGCUGCAACUCGCCUACAUGAAGUUGGAAUCGCUAGUAAUCGUGGAUCAGCAUGCCACGGUGAAUACGUUCCCGGGCCUUGUACACACCGCCCGUCACACCAUGAGAGUUUGUAACACCCAAAGCCGGUGAGGUAACCUUCGGGGACCAGCCGUCUAAGGUGGGACAGAUGAUUAGGGUGAAGUCGUA